rnacentral:tRNA from 2 species
GUUUUAAUAGUUUAAUAAAAACAUUGGUCUUGUAAACCAAAAAUAAGAGUUACUCUUUUAAAACU